rnacentral:rRNA from 1 species
GACGAACGCUGGCGGCGUGCUUAACACAUGCAAGUCGAACGAAGUGGCGAACGGGUGAGUAACGCGUAAUCAACCUGCCCUUCAGAGGGGGACAACAGUUGGAAACGACUGCUAAUACCGCAUACUGAAGGAGGGGAUUGCGUCGGAUGAGCUAGUGGGAGGGGUAACGGCCCACCAAGGCGAUGAUCAGUAGCCGGCCGGAGAGGAUGACAGGCCACAUUGGAACUGAGACACGGCCCAGACUCCUACGGGAGGCAGCAGUGGGGAAUCUUCCGCAAUGGACGAAAGUCUGACGGAGCAACGCCGCGUGAGUGAAGAAGGUUUUCGGAUCGUAAAACUCUGUUGGUAGAGAAGCGGUAUCUAACCAGAAAGCCACGGCUAACUACGUGCCAGCCGCCGCGGUAAUAC